AUUGAACGCUGGCGGCAGGCCUAACACAUGCAAGUCGAGCGGAUGAAGGGAGCUUGCUCCUGGAUUCAGCGGCGGACGGGUGAGUAAUGCCUAGGAAUCUGCCUGGUAGUGGGGGAUAACGUCCGGAAACGGGCGCUAAUACCGCAUACGUCCUGAGGGAGAAAGUGGGGGAUCUUCGGACCUCACGCUAUCAGAUGAGCCUAGGUCGGAUUAGCUAGUUGGUGGGGUAAAGGCCUACCAAGGCGACGAUCCGUAACUGGUCUGAGAGGAUGAUCAGUCACACUGGAACUGAGACACGGUCCAGACUCCUACGGGAGGCAGCAGUGGGGAAUAUUGGACAAUGGGCGAAAGCCUGAUGCAGCCAUGCCGCGUGUGUGAAGAAGGUCUUCGGAUUGUAAAGCACUUUUAGUUGGGAGGAAGGGAAGUAAGUUAAUACCUGGCUGUUUUGACGUUACCAAAAGAAAAAGCACCGGCUAACUUCGUG
rnacentral:rRNA from 1 species